CCUACGGGUGGCAGCAGUGGGGAAUAUUGCACAAUGGGCGCAAGCCUGAUGCAGCGACGCCGCGUGAGGGAAGAAGGAUUUCGGGUUGUAAACUUCUUUUGACAGGGAAGAGUAGAAGACGGUACCAGUAGAAUACGCCACGGCUAACCACGUGCCAGCAGCCGGGGAAAUGCGUAGGGGGCAAGCGUUGGCCGGAUUUACUGGGUGUAAAGGGCGUGUAGCCGGGUGAACAAGUCAGAUGUGAAAGCCUGCGGCUUAACCGCCGGACUGCUUUUGAAACUGUUGAACUGGAGUACUGGAGAGGCAAGCGGAAUUCCUAGUGUAGCGGUGAAAUGCGUAGAUAUUAGGAGGAACACCAGUGGCGAAGGCGGACUACUGGACAGUAACUGACGUUGAGGCGCGAAAGCGUGGGGAGCAAACAGGAUUAGAUACCCGUGUAGUC
rnacentral:rRNA from 1 species